GCGCCCGCGGUCUAGUGGUUAGCGCUCUCGCUUUUGAAUCUGUCGACACGGGUUCGAUCCCCCUUGGGGUCA